GAUGAAGAACGCAGCGAAAUGCGAUAAGUAAUGUGAAUUGCAGAAUUCAGUGAAUCAUCGAAUCUUUGAACGCACAUCGCGCCCCCUGGUAUUCCGGGGGGCAUGCCUGUCCGAGCGUCAUUACAAUCCUCAAGCUCAGCUUGGUGUUGGGCCCCGCCGCCCCGGCGGGCCCUAAAGUCAGUGGCGGUGCCGUCCGGCUCCGAGCGUAGUAAUUCUUCUCGCUCUGGAGGUCCGGUCGUGUGCUCGCCAGCAACCCCCAAUUUUUUUCAGGUUGACCUCGGAUCAGGUAGGGAUACCCGCUGAACUUAAGCAUAUCAAUAAGCGGAGGA
rnacentral:misc_RNA from 1 species